AGAGGUUCAGGAUCCCGCUGAGUUCGAGCAACCCGACUUCGAUCAAGGCAAGUGCAGACACCAUUUGAUCAUUUUGAACCUACUCAUUAAUGUCAUUUACUUUAUAUGCAUGUGUCCAAUGAAUGCAAACCCUAAGGACAUGACUAGCUUUACUUAUUAUUCCUUGCUCACCUGGGGUUAUGUAUUUGGGUAGUCUAGGAUAUACUAGGUUUGCUUAGCUGCUCUACUCAUCUUAUACACAUGCCUAAACAAGUAUUAAUCUCUACUCAACUUGACGCUUAAAUUGUGCUGAAUCUUUGGUCACUACGGUGAUGGCGAUGUUGGAUGCUUACGAGCAUCGUGAUGAUGGUGGUGACAGGGGGAGCGGGUACUGUUGGUGGUCCGGUUUGCCGGUCGUACCCGUCUCUGCUCUCCGUAAGGACUUAGUCAGAGAGCGGCCCCCUGGGACUUACAGUGCAGCUCCAAGCUAUAUGGGCUCUGGCUUGACUAAUUAUCAGGACCUCCACUGGUAGGGUGUUACUUUCCGGGUAGGCGUAAGGAAUGUAGCUUGGGUAUUCAUAUUAAGAGGUCGGUCAGUUCGGGGUCCCAUUGCUAUGGGCACGACUGCCGCGCGCCCCGGCAAAAACUUACGAGUGGCAUCCUAUUAGUUGGACCCUGUGAAAGGUCUCGUAGUGAGACCCUGCCUGCUCACCUUGGCAGUGUUUUGGGGAGUCAUGACCCCGGGCAAAUGGGAAUCACGACUUGGAGUGAACGUGCACACCUCUACAGAGUGUAAAACUGAUAUAUCAGCCGUGCUCACGGUCACGAGCGGCCCAGACCCUCACUUGAUGAGCAAAUUGGAUUCACUGGAUACUUGGAGAUGGAACUUGGCGAGGUUGCUACCUCGUGUUUUGGCGGAAUGGCUAUUCCGUGUUGGCAGGAUUGCUAUCCUGUGUUAAUAAUUGGGGUUAAUCCCUGGAUUACUAUAAUAAUUAGGAUAGUCUUUUAAAAGAUGCUAAUUACUACUUACACUAAUUAAGGGUUGGGUUUAUGCUACUCAUAUUUAGUAAUAGGUUGUUCUAGUAAUUGUCAUAAUUAAAAGUGAUCAACUAAAAUGCUACCGCAGUCAAACCAAGUCAGCUUUACCUUGUUUUAAGCUUUGCAUGUCAUUUACUUUCCGUCUGUGCUUGCUGAGUUCGACAUGAGCUCACCCUUGCUAUAAUCAUUAAAGGUUGCUCGGACGAUCAGGAUUACAAUUGUGAUUUCCCUGAGGACUACCCUGAGUCUCCCGGUUGUUAGGCUCGUGUGGUUCUACCGUCGACCUUCCUGUGGCAAGGUGGUCCUGCUACGUCGGCGUUUAGUUUUCCCUUUAUUUAUGGAACAGUUUAGUUUAUGUUUCCCCUCCGCACUUUGAUAAACAUUUGGCUUGUAAUAAUGGUACUUUUACUCUCAUUUAUGUAAUUCGUUUGAACACUGUGUUUUGUACCAUUGAUGAUGUCGGUCCAUGUGUGUGAAUUUGAGAUCCUGGCGCACAUGUGAUUUGGCACCCGAAUGCUCUUUUACAUCCGGGUGUGACAGAAGUGGUACCAAAGCCGUGUUGACCGUAGGAUCACGCAGCCUAGUUAGAAACAGCCGUUUAGAUUGUCCCUUUUGGGUGGAAUACACCAUUGGAUCUAUUAACUACCUUACUAACCUGUCUCAUUAGACUUUAUCUAUUAGCCUUAUCUACUUACUUUUACUAACAGUUCAGUUUAUUCACUUACUUCCUGCAUUUAUUACCUUGUUAUUAUUUAUUGCUUUCUAUUUCUCAUAUUGCAUUUAUAUUCUUGUUUCAACUUUUACUACUUGUUAUUUGAACCUUUCUUUUAUACCUUGUCAUUUAUUAUCAUUCUACUCAUAUUACCUUCUUGUUCCUUGUUUUUCAUUUAUUACUUGAGUUAUGUUUUAUUUCUGCCUUGACAAUAAAUUUCAUUACCUUGUUUUCACUUUAUACCUUCAUUACUUGCUUUUAUAUCUUACCAUAAAUACCACCAAAGUUCAUAUUGUCCAUCCAUUAUAUAAUCUUGGUUCAUCUUCAUUACACAUACACUUUUACCUUCAUUUAUGUUAUUCAUUUAUCUAUCAUUGUCAUGAUCUAUUAACCGUUUCCUGCAUGUCUAUGAUCUUAUGCAUAAGUAGAUGACUCGCCACCUGACCUGCCGCAAGAGCGUUAUUCGUUUCCGUCCCGUUCAAGCUGUGGAGUUCUCGUUGACUGGUCGCGUGGAUAACAUCGUGUUCCAGCCUAACCAGCAUCUUGAUGACGGUGCUAACCUCCAAGACGCGGAACCCUAUGAAGGACAGCAACCACCUCAAGCUCUGGUGGUGCAUGGAAGGGCGCCUUGCUGGGCACCGGGAGGAGAUGAUCCCUUCGGUGAUGAUGACAUGGAUGAUGAUGAUGAUGAGGAUGCACCUGGAGGACCCGGUGGACCUGGAGGACCUGGAGGUCAAGAUGGACUUUUUGCUGCUGAUGAUGGGUGGAUUGUGACAGUCUGCACCAGGGAUGGUGGAGAGUGUUUCUUCCACAGCGAGCUGAAGCGUCUCCUUGACCAGCAGCUGGGACAUGGCAUGUUCUCAGUGGAGUACCGCAGUGAGCACUGGAGUCACCCAGACUACCCGGCGUACUGGAAGGUCUGGGCACACGUCGGCAGGCCUAACCCGACGUUGAGGGCACUGAGGAUCAUGUCCAUACAUGAGGCUGUGGCUGAGAGGUCUACCCAGAUGGCGGGCAUUAAUGAUGCUGCUCGCCAGGCUUUCUACGCAUACCGUGACCACUUCUUCGAGGAGAUCAGCCAAGCGUCGCUACUACCCUCGCCGUCGCCGUGGAGAGUUGGCAAUGGCUAUUGCUUCCACCACUGAUGAGCAAGACCCCCGCGUGCACAGGACUGUCAAGCUGGUGGCGGUCACUAACACCGAGCUCAACAGUUCACUAGUGGAGCUGAAGCAAGUCAGGAAGGAGCUGGACGACGCCAGGAAGAGGAUAGCGCAGCUGGAGGCUCAGAUCACUGGAGUGCCACCGCCUUCACCUAAGUGGCCUGCUUUCUCUCCGCCUCGUGAAGAUCCAGCCUAUGGAGAUGCCAGCGCUCGUACUACUAUAGAAUUGGAGCUAUUCCCAGCUUAGUAAUAAAUAGUGCCACGCUUAGAACGUUAGCACGAUCUUAGUUAUGCGAGUCUAGUGUUUAGUCGUUUGCUUAGUGUGCUUUGCUUGGUCUGUGUGAGAACUUGAUUUAUUAUUGUGUUAAUGGUGUGAUUUGGUUCUUUGUAAUGAGUGCGAUGAGUUGUGGGUUAUAUCCACAACGCAUCAAGAACAAGAUUAAGUAUUAAGUUUAUUUGAGAUAGUUAGUUUGGGUUAUCAUCGGUCUCCUUUAUUUGUGCUUUAUCAUAUUUCAUAAUCGCUUUAUCUUAUCAGUCUUACUUUAUCAUGAUCAGUUCAGUAUCUAUAUAUUACAUCUAUUCUGAGUACUGUGUUUAUCAACUGAGAAAGGAAAGUGAAUAUCAGCUGGUUCAUACUGUGAGGAAAGAUUUUCACAUUGCAGUUUACAUUACAGCUCAGGUUUACACAUAUGAACUACAUCUGAUUUUAUUAUAUUAUUUCUAUACAUCAGAUGCCUGUCCACACCAGGAGCAACACCAAUGGAGGAAACAAUGGGCAGUCCAACAACAACAACAAUGAUCAGAGCGGGACUAAUGCCAACCCUCCUCCUCCUGGGAAUCAGCCCAUGACCAUAGAGCAGUUGAUGACUAUGCAGACUCAACUGAUGCAAGGGAUGGCUCAUAUUAUGAACCACAUGCAGCAGAACCAAAACCAGAAUCAGAACCAACAUCAAGGAGGUAACAACGCGUUUGCCCCACCCAGGGACAAGCGUGGAGAGUUCAUGAAGGGACGUCCACCGUUCUUCUCCCACUCAGCUGAUCCUAUGCAAGCUGAGGAUUGGCUUAAAGCUGUGGAGAAGCAGCUGGUCAUCGCUCAGUGCAAUGACAGGGAGAAGGUUCUGUAUGGCUCUGGGCAGCUUCAGGGAGCCGCACAGGACUGGUGGGAUUCGUACUGCUUUGCACAUCAGGACUCGGAUACUAUCACUUGGGAUGAGUUCAAGGUCGCCUUCAAGACUCAUCAUGUGUCUGCUGGAUUGGUGAAGCUGAAGAAGAAGGAGUUUCUGUCUCUGAAGCAGGGCUCCAUGACAGUUUGUGAGUACCGUGACAAGUUCACUCAGUUGUCGCGGUAUUGCCCCAAUGAAGUGGAGAAUGAUGAAGACAAGCAAGACCACUUCCUGGAAGGUUUGAAUGAUGGUCUGUCCUACAUGAUGUCAAAUGUCAAGUAUGCCAGUUUUCAGGAGAUGGUGGACAGGGCAUUGGUGCUUGAGAGCAAGCGCCGCAAGAUGGAAGACAAGAAGAGGAAGUAUAAUUCCUCUCAGCAGCAGGCUGGUGCCAGUCGUCCCCGUUACAACAAGCAGCAGGGCCCUCAGUCUCGCCCUGCAUAUCAGUCUGGUAACCAAGGACAGCAGCAGAAUGUCAGGUACAGCAACCAGAGUCAGCAGACGAGCCAGCGCUACAACAACAACCAAGUGCAGCGCCCCGCUAGCCAGGCGCCUCGCCAGAAUGCCCCAGCACCAUCAGGCUCUCGCCAGAACUCCAACGCUGUCCCAGUGAAGCCCAAUGUCAACCCCGCCCCCACUGGAAAUACCUGCUUCAAGUGUGGUCAGCCUAGACACUACGCGAAUGCUUCCCCCCAGAAGCAGAAGAACAACAAUGGAAGGGUGAACCAUGUGAAGCUGGAAACUGCUGAGGAGGCUCCAGAUGUGGUAGUUGGUACGUUCCUUGUCAACUCUUGCCCAGCUACUGUUUUGUUUGAUACUGGAGCAUCACAUACUUUUAUAAGUGCACAGUUUGUUGAGAAACAUAGUAUAGCCACCUGUACCAUGCAAAACACCAUGCUAGUUAAAUCACCUGGGGGAAAGAUGCAUACUAAUACUUUGUGUCCGGGAAUGAGCAUUAAAAUAAGGGGGGUAGAUUUUCUUGUCAAUCCUAUUGUGUUGGGUUCAGAAGGUUUAGAUAUGAUAUUGGGAAUGAGAUGGUUGUCCAAGUUUAAGGGUACUAUUCAGUGUGCUGAGAAGACAGUGGCUCUAACAGCACCUAGUGGGAACAGAAUUGAGGUCAGAGUUUCUAUGUCACCUAGCAGUGAAGGAACAGUUUACCAUGUGAGCAGUGGGUCAGUAGAAGAUAUUCGAGUUGUGAAAGAGUUCCCUGAUGUGUUCCCAGAGGAUUUGCCAGGUAUGCCACCUGAACGUGAGAUUGAAUUUGUUAUUGAUUUAUUACCUGGUACUGCACCCAUAUCUAAGAGACCUUAUAGAAUGGCUGUUAAUGAGUUAGAAGAACUUAAGAAACAACUAAGGGAGUUACAGUCUAAGGGGUAUAUCCGUCCUAGUUCCUCACCUUGGGGAGCUCCAGUUAUCUUUGUAGAGAAGAAGGAUGGGACACAGAGGAUGUGUGUAGACUAUAGAUCUUUGAAUGAGGUCACAAUUAAGAAUAAAUACCCGUUGCCUAGAAUAGAGGACCUAUUUGACCAGUUGAAAGGAGUUUGUGUGUUUUCCAAGAUAGAUCUGAGGUCAGGAUAUCACCAGUUGAGGAUUAAACCCAGUGAUAUUCCAAAGACUGCUUUCACCACCAGAUAUGGACUUUAUGAAUAUACAGUUAUGUCUUUUGGAUUGACUAAUGCUCCAGCUUACUUUAUGUAUCUGAUGAAUAAAGUUUUUAUGGAGUAUUUGGAUAAGUUUGUGGUAGUCUUUAUUGAUGAUAUCUUGAUCUACUCCAAGACUGAGGAAGAACAUGAGGAACACCUAAGACUUGUGUUGCAGAAAUUGAGGGAACAUCAGCUCUAUGCCAAGUUGAGUAAGUGUGACUUCUGGUUGAAGGAAGUGUCUUUUCUUGGUCAUGUCAUUUCAAAUGGUGGAGUUGCUGUCAGUCCGAAGAAUGUGGCAGAUGUUCUUAAGUGGAGUCCACCUCAGACUGUUGGAGAGAUCAGAAGUUUUCUUGGAAUGGCCGGUUACUAUCGGAGAUUCAUUGAAGGGUUUUCCAGUAUUGCCAAGCCCAUGACCGCUUUGUUAGAGAAGGGUAAGCCAUUCAAGUGGAAUGAACAGUGUCAGGCUAGUUUUGAGGAAUUGAAGAAGAGGUUGACUACUGCACCAAUUUUGACUUUGCCAGAUGUGACUAAAAGCUUUUCUAUCUAUUGUGAUGCUUCCAAGCAAGGUUUGGGAUGUGUGCUGAUGCAAGAGGGAAAGGUGAUUGCCUAUGCAUCUAGGCAGUUGAAGAAACAUGAGGUGAAUUAUCCAACUCAUGAUCUUGAGUUAGCAGCUGUGGUCCAUUCACUGAAAAUCUGGAGACACUAUAUUCUGGGUCAUAAGUGUGAUAUCUACACGGAUCACAAGAGUCUGAAAUACAUCUUCACUCAGAAUGACUUGAACCUAAGACAGAGAAGAUGGUUAGAGUUGAUCAAAGACUAUGAACUGGAGAUUCAUUACCACCCUGGCAAAGCUAAUGUAGUUGCUGAUGCUCUGAGUAGAAAGAGUCAAGUGAAUAUGAUGGAAGCCACGGAGUUACCGAUGGAACUACUGACAGAAUUUGAGUAUCUCAAUUUGGGGUUUGUUGCUAAUACCCAAGGGACUUCCAUGGACAUAGAACCAACUCUUGAGCAAGAGAUCAGAAAAGGUCAGAAAGAGGAUGAAGAGAUCAAAAAGAUACUUAAGCUGAUAGAGGAAGGUAGAGCACCUGGAUUCAAAGUUGAUCAAGAAGGGAUUGUUUGGCACAAGGACCGAUUGUGUGUGCCUGAUAUUCAGAGAAUCAAGGAUGUGAUACUGAAGGAGUGCCAUGAAUCUGCUUACUCUAUUCAUCCAGGAGGUACUAAGGAGGUACUAAGAUGUAUCAGGACUUGAAGCAAAACUAUUGGUGGCCUGGUAUGAAGAAAGAUAUUGGUGAAUAUGUGGCAUUGUGUGACACCUGUCAGAGAGUGAAAGCGGAACAUCAGAGGCCAGCAGGGUUGUUGCAACCAUUGAAGAUACCUGAGUGGAAGUGGGAUGAGAUCAGCAUGGACUUCAUAGUGGGAUUGCCGAAAACUCAACGAGGUUAUGACUCAAUAUGGGUUGUAGUAGAUCGAUUGACCAAGGUAGCUCAUUUCAUACCGGUCAGAACGAACUACCGUGGAGAUCAGUUAGCAGAAAAGUAUAUGGAACGAAUUGUGUGUUUGCAUGGAGUUCCUAAGAGGAUUGUGUCUGAUAGAGGUACACAGUUUACAUCAAAAUUUUGGGAGAAGUUACAUGAUGCUUUGGGAACCGAGCUCAGAUUCAGUACUGCUUAUCACCCUCAGUCCGAUGGUCAGACAGAGAGAGUCAACCAGAUAGUAGAGGAUAUGCUCAGGUCUUGUGCUUUACAGUAUGGGAAUAGUUGGGAUGCUAGUUUGCCCUACGCUGAGUUCUCCUAUAACAGCAGUUAUCAGACUAGUCUUAAGAUGACUCCUUUUGAAGCCUUGUAUGGAAGGAAGUGUAGGACUCCAUUGUUCUGGAACCAGACUGGUGAAAGGCAAGUGUUCGGCCCUGAUUCAUUGAGAAUAGCCGAAGAAAGUGUUCAGUUCAUCCGACAGACUCUGAAGGCAGCUCAGUCUAGACAGAAGAGUUAUGCUGAUGUGAGACGAAGGGAACUUGUAUUUCAGGCAGGUGAUUAUGUAUACCUGAAAGUGUCUCCGAUGAGGGGUCUAAAGAGGUUCAAUGUUAAGGGAAAGCUAGCUCCAAGAUAUGUUGGUCCUUUUAAGAUUUUGGAGAGGAAAGGAGAAGUGGCUUAUGAGCUUGAACUGCCUGUUAGUUUAUCCAACGUGCACAAUGUUUUCCAUGUCUCCCAAUUCAAGAAAUGUCUGAGAGUGCCUGAGGAACAGUUGCCACUAGAGGAACUGGAUUUACAGGAUAAUCUAACUUAUGAAGAGAGUCCUAUCAAAGUCCUGGACACAGCAGAGAGAAUUACCAGGAGUAAAACUAUCAGGAUGUGUAAAGUACAAUGGAAACACCAUUCCGAGGAAGAAGCAACCUGGGAAAGAGAAGAUGAUAUAAUAUCCAAAUACCCUCAGUUAUUCCCUGGUUCAUCCUAAUCUCGAGGACGAGAUUCUUUUAAGGGGGGUAGGUUUAUAACACUCCAAAUUUUUGAAUUUCAAAUUUAGUUUAAAUUUGAUUUAAUUUUGGCUUAGUUUGAAUUUUUGGAGAAUUAUUAAAUAAUUUACAAAAUUAAUUAAAAUAAAUAUAAGGUAGAAACGUGUUUGAUUUUUGCAUUCAUGCUGCUGCAUAAUUUUGCUUGAUUUUAUUUAUUUUGCUGAUGCUUGUUUUGUUUUGUUUUGGAGCAAGAAAAUUUAAAAAAAAAGAAAAAGGGGAGAGCUCUCACCUGGGCCGAUUCUCGGCCCAGCCCCCGCGCGCGCGCCCCCCCUUCUCCCCGCACGGCCCAGCAGCGGCCCAGCCGCAGGGCCGCAGCGCCCCCAGCCCGCCUGCCGCCCGCAGCCGCUGACAGUGGGGCCCGCGAGUGGGUCCCACCCGUCAGGCGGGGGCGUCUUCAACCUCCCGUCCGAAUCGGACGGGAGCAACCGCCGCGCCGCCUCCUCCUCGGCUUCCGCGCAAAUCCCGCGUCCCGAGCUUCGCCCGCGCUUUAAAUAGCCUCCCUCGGCCGCCCGCACGUGCCCUAGCCGCCUCCGAAGCCCUAGCCGACACGCCGAGUUCCGCAGCGCCGCCGCCGAGCUCCCCGCGCCGCCGCCGCCGUCGAACUCGCUCCGCCGCCACUGUUCGCCCCGAGGUGAGCAUCCCCCGAGCUCCGCCCUCUCGCGACGAACGCGCUCGAGCACUCGGCGGGCCUUUUCCCCCUCUCUGCCGCGCGUACGGCCUCGCCGGAGUCCGCCGCCGCCGCCGUCUCGCACCGCCGCGCGGCCAGCGCGCCCCGGCCAUCCUCGGCCUCAACCCGCGUGCGCAUCGGCUCCGCCGUAACGCCCGCAACCCGCCACCGCCCUCGGCUCGCCUCCCCAUGCCCCGGUUCGCCGUCCCGGCGAAGUUCCGAGCCGCGGCCAUGGCGCGCCGCCGCGGCCGGCCGCCCAGCCCCGCCGCCUGCUCGCCUCGCCAAGGGCGCGGUCCAUCGUGGACCGCGACCCCCGCGCCCGCACGGCCGGUCCACUGGACCCGGCUCACCGCCCCGCGCCCCCCCCGGUCCACCGUGGACCGGUGCACCCCGCGCCGCACCCGGUCCACCGUGAACCCGCCAGCCGCAAGCCGCCACGUGGCCAGGACGGCCACGGUCCCCACGCGCCCCUGCGUUUUUGCAAAAACCCUCCUAGGUUUCUUUGAAAUCAACCCGCGCUCCAUUUAGUUUUAGAUUUAUUUAAUUUAUGCCCCUGCUUUUACAGUUUAGCCCCUGCACCCGUUAGAAUUUAUGUAUUUAAUCCAAAAUGAGUUUUAAUUCAGUUUUAAUUAGUUUUAAUUACGAAAAAUAGUUCAGUUUAUCUACAGAAAUGCCAUUCAACUUGUUUUAGCCAUAACUUUUGCAUCGUAACUCCGAUUUAGGUGAUUCUGGUCGCUAUAGUUUCGUUUCAUCGAGUAGAAUACAGUAGUGCAGUUGCUUUAUGCUUUCGCAUGCUUUGGUGUACUGUUUCUGAUUAAGUUUGUUUGCUUGCAUGUAUUGUUCCUAUGAUUGAUGAUUGUCGCGUAUAGCCAACGAGACGUUCGUGAAGGAAGAGGUUCAGGAUCCCGCUGAGUUCGAGCAACCCGACUUCGAUCAAGGCAAGUGCAGACACCAUUUGAUCAUUUUGAACCUACUCAUUAAUGUCAUUUACUUUAUAUGCAUGUGUCCAAUGAAUGCAAACCCUAAGGACAUGACUAGCUUUACUUAUUAUUCCUUGCUCACCUGGGGUUAUGUAUUUGGGUAGUCUAGGAUAUACUAGGUUUGCUUAGCUGCUCUACUCAUCUUAUACACAUGCCUAAACAAGUAUUAAUCUCUACUCAACUUGACGCUUAAAUUGUGCUGAAUCUUUGGUCACUACGGUGAUGGCGAUGUUGGAUGCUUACGAGCAUCGUGAUGAUGGUGGUGACAGGGGGAGCGGGUACUGUUGGUGGUCCGGUUUGCCGGUCGUACCCGUCUCUGCUCUCCGUAAGGACUUAGUCAGAGAGCGGCCCCCUGGGACUUACAGUGCAGCUCCAAGCUAUAUGGGCUCUGGCUUGACUAAUUAUCAGGACCUCCACUGGUAGGGUGUUACUUUCCGGGUAGGCGUAAGGAAUGUAGCUUGGGUAUUCAUAUUAAGAGGUCGGUCAGUUCGGGGUCCCAUUGCUAUGGGCACGACUGCCGCGCGCCCCGGCAAAAACUUACGAGUGGCAUCCUAUUAGUUGGACCCUGUGAAAGGUCUCGUAGUGAGACCCUGCCUGCUCACCUUGGCAGUGUUUUGGGGAGUCAUGACCCCGGGCAAAUGGGAAUCAC
rnacentral:lncRNA from 1 species